GAUGAACGCUGGCGGCGUGCCUAAUACAUGCAAGUCGAGCGAACAGACGAGGAGCUUGCUCCUCUGACGUUAGCGGCGGACGGGUGAGUAACACGUGGAUAACCUACCUAUAAGACUGGGAUAACUUCGGGAAACCGGAGCUAAUACCGGAUAAUAUAUUGAACCGCAUGGUUCAAUAGUGAAAGACGGUUUUGCUGUCACUUAUAGAUGGUUCCGCGCCGCAUUAGCUAGUUGGUAAGGUAACAGCUUACCAAGGCAACGAUGCGUAGCCGACCGGAGAGGGUGAUCGGCCACACUGGAACUGGGACACGGUCAAGACUCCUACGGGAGGCAGCAGUAGGGAAUCUUCCGCAAUGGGCGAAAGCCUGACGGAGCAACGCCGCGUGAGUGAUGAAGGUCUUCGGAUCGUAAAACUCUGUUAUUAGGGAAGAACAAAUGUGUAAGUAACUAUGCACGUCUUGACGGUACCUAAUCAGAAAGCCACGGCUAACUACGUG
rnacentral:rRNA from 1 species